rnacentral:rRNA from 1 species
UGAGGGUCGGACCAAAAACGAAACCUGUCGGCGCCCCACGCGCCCUGCGUGCCCGCUCUCCGCCACCUCGCCCGUAUGUUCGGGAGGUGACCGCGGACGGGUCAAGGUCUGAAGAAAGGCUCGCGCCAUGGCGAGUCCACGAACGGCGAAACGCUGGGCCCCCCCUUCCGCGGGGUCMCGUCGCCGAGCGUUCGCGCUCUAGAGCUCGGGUCGCACCGCACUCGAAGACGCCGUUCCCGGUGUUGCUUCGUGAAGACGGCGGCGACCCGCCGGAGCCGCAAAGACGCUUUAAAAACAAAAACCUGUCGACCUCAGAUCGGACGAGACGACCCGCUGAAUUUAAGCAUAU